GAUGAAGAACGUAGCGAAAUGCGAUAAGUAAUGUGAAUUGCAGAAUUCAGUGAAUCAUCGAAUCUUUGAACGCACAUUGCGCCCGCUAGUAUUCUGGCGGGCAUGCCUGUUCGAGCGUCAUUUCAACCAUCAAGCUCCCGGGCUUGCGUUGGGGCCCUGCGGCUGCCGCAGGCCCCUAAAACUAGUGGCGGGCUCGCUGUCACUCCGAGCGUAGUAGUUACAUCUCGCUCUGGGCGUGCUGCGGGUUCCGGCCGUUAAAAGCCUUAUUUACCCAAGGUUGACCUCGGAUCAGGUAGGAAGACCCGCUGAACUUAAGCAUAUCAAUAAGCGGAGGA
rnacentral:misc_RNA from 1 species